rnacentral:rRNA from 1 species
UACGUAGGGACCGAGCGUUGUCCAGAAUCAUUGGGCGUAAAGAGCGUGUAGGCGGCCAACUAAGUCCUGCGUGAAAUCUCGGGGCUCAACCCCGAGCGGUCGUGGGAAACUGGUUGGCUAGAGUGUGGUAGGGGAGACUGGAAUUCCUGGUGUAGCGGUGAAAUGCGCAGAUAUCGGGAAGAACACCCGUGGCGAAGGCGGCUCUCUGGGACGGUACUGGACGCUGAGACGCGAAAGCGUGGGGAGCGAACAGGA